GACAGAGGGUGCAAACGUUGCUCGGAAUUACUGGGCGUAAAGCGCGUGUAGGUGGAUUGGUGUGUCAGAUGUGAAAGCCCUGGGCUCAACCCAGGAACUGCACCUGAAACUACCAGUCUUGAGUGGUGGAGAGGGAAGUGGAAUUCCUGGUGUAAAGGUGAAAUUCGUAGAUAUCAGGAGGAACACCAGUGGCGAAGGCGGCUUCCUGGACACCAACUGACGCUGAGACGGCGAAAGC
rnacentral:rRNA from 1 species